rnacentral:lncRNA from 1 species
GCUUGGUAAAUGCAAAAGUAUGUGGCAGAUGCAAAAGCAUUCUCUUAUUUUUACUUAAUUAUAGGAAAGUGAGCAGCAUGUGAACUGGUGUGCCAUGCAAGUGGCAGCUCACCAAGGACAGGAGGGAAAUGACAACCCCAUGCUCUUCGCUGGCUCACUGAAGGAUUCUGCUAGGCAUGAAGCACAACCACAGACAACCUCAGAAGUCUCAAACCAUCUGGCUACUUUGAUUUUAAUGCUAGCAAAGAUGUCUCUGUCAUCUCAAUAGCAGAUUAGUCAGCCAUUUAUAUCCUUACCUUAUUUUUACCUACAAGAUUCUACAGUAAAGGCCAGCUGGCUGAAGAAACCAUUUCAAAACCCAACCACAAUAACUGCCUUUGUUUUACACAUCUAGUGGACAUAAAUUCUUGUCAUUUUGUUUUAUGAGAAUGGCAGGAUUUAUUAGAUCAGACAGGUCAUUAAGUAAUUUUUUUCUUUAAUAAUGUCUUUGAUUCAGUGAACUCAAAUUUAUGCUCUGUUAUAGUGUGCUAACAGCUAUUUUUUGGCUAGGAAAGCUAGCAAUAAAUCUGAAUUUAAUAAACUGACAAUAGAUCUAAAUAUGAAAGAGAUUCAAGACACUAAUUUUUCCAGCCAUUUAAAAGCAGUGAAUCCUUGCAUAACUAUAAGACUAAUCCCAAACUAAAAGCAUAUUCUCUUAGAAACUAUCUCAUUGAUCACAACAUGUAAUUCUGCUCAAUGUGAAGAUUUUUUAAAAGCCAUCCAGCUAUUGCCCUGUUUGCCAGUGGCAGUGUGCUCUUUUCAGCUGCCAGAAAAGAAACAGAAUUUGGGAGCACAGCUCUGUACAUGAAUAAGCCCACACAUACCUCUGUGUAUACUCCUUGAUCUUCCUGUCACCCCCUUUUUCUGCAUUUAUGCACACACAAACACAGAUAGAAGACUUGGAGCACAGCGGAACAGUUUGUCCAGCUAAGUUGAGGAAUCUACAUCCUUAAAGAUUUUGAAAAGCCAGUAGGACAUGGACCUGAUCAACUUUGCCUUGUCAGAGUCCAGCCUGGCUUAGAAAAGGGGGAUGGACUCGUG